rnacentral:rRNA from 1 species
CUCAGGAUGAACGCUGGCGGUCUGCUUAACACAUGCAAGUCGAACGCAACCUUCGGGUUGAGUGGCGGACGGGUGAGUAACGCGUGAGAAUCUGCCUUGGGGUCGGGGACAACCACUGGAAACGGUGGCUAAUACCGGAUAAGCCUUUGGGUAAAAAAUUUAUUGCCCCAAGAGGAGCUCGCGUCUGAUUAGCUAGUUGGUGAGGUAAAAGCUCACCAAGGCAGCGAUCAGUAGCUGGUCUGAGAGGACGAUCAGCCACACUGGGACUGAGACACGGCCCAGACUCCUACGGGAGGCAGCAGUGGGGAAUUUUCCGCAAUGGGCGAAAGCCUGACGGAGCAAGACCGCGUGAGGGAGGAAGGCUCUUGGGUUGUAAACCUCUUUUCUCAGGGAAGAAGCUCUGACGGUACCUGAGGAAUCAGCCUCGGCUAACUCCGUGCCAGCAGCCGCGGUAAUACGGAGGAGGCAAGCGUUAUCCGGAAUUAUUGGGCGUAAAGCGUCCGCAGGUGGCGAUUCAAGUCUGCUGUCAAAGCACGGGGCUUAACUCCGUUAAGGCAGUGGAAACUGAAUAGCUAGAGUGCCGUAGGGGUAGAGGGAAUUCCCGGUGUAGCGGUGAAAUGCGUAGAGAUCGGGAAGAACAUCGGUGGCGAAAGCGCUCUACUGGACGGCAACUGACACUCAGGGACGAAAGCUAGGGGAGCGAAUGGGAUUAGAUACCCCAGUAGUCCUAGCUGUAAACGAUGGAUACUAGGUGUAGCUUGUAUCGACCCGAGCUGUGCCGAAGCUAACGCGUUAAGUAUCCCGCCUGGGGAGUACGCACGCAAGUGUGAAACUCAAAGGAAUUGACGGGGGCCCGCACAAGCGGUGGAGUAUGUGGUUUAAUUCGAUGCAACGCGAAGAACCUUACCAGGGCUUGACCUGUCCGCGAAUCCGGUGAAAGCUGGGAGUGCCUUCGGGAGCCGGAACACCGGUGGUGCCUGGCUGUCCGUCGCUCGUGUCGUG